rnacentral:rRNA from 1 species
GAUGAACGCUGGCGGCGUGCCUAAUACAUGCAAGUCGAGCGAACAGAUAAGGAGCUUGCUCCUUUGACGUUAGCGGCGGACGGGUGAGUAACACGUGGGUAACCUACCUAUAAGACUGGAAUAACUCCGGGAAACCGGGGCUAAUGCCGGAUAACAUUUAGAACCGCAUGGUUCUAAAGUGAAAGAUGGUUUUGCUAUCACUUAUAGAUGGACCCGCGCCGUAUUAGCUAGUUGGUAAGGUAACGGCUUACCAAGGCAACGAUACGUAUCCGACCUGAGAGGGUGAUCGGCCACACUGGAACUGAGACACGGUCCAGACUCCUACGGGAGGCAGCAGUAGGGAAUCUUCCGCAAUGGGCGAAAGCCUGACGGAGCAACGCCGCGUGAGUGAUGAAGGUCUUCGGAUCGUAAAACUCUGUUAUUAGGGAAGAACAAAUGUGUAAGUAACUGUGCACGUCUUGACGGUACCUAAUCAGAAAGCCACGGCUAACUACGUG